GUGCUCACAUCGGCAGCACAUUAAAAUUAGACCUUUACAUAGAAGAUUACCAUGGCCCCUGCACGAGGAUGACACGCAAAUUCGUGAAGCACUCCAUAUUUUU